AAUCCACCUUGAAACAAGGGUAACUACUUUUAACGAUUGGAGCUACAAGUCCGACAACUUAUCAACCUUACAAGAUUUUAUUGCCGGUUUUAUUGCAGGGUUAUACAAUAAACACCUUAACAGAGACUAAUAAAUCACUUUUGUGUUUCCAAUUAUUCAACUUGGAGCUGGAGAGAGGCUUCCAUUCUGCUAGCCAUGACUUGCAAGCCAGUGCCAAUAAACAGGUCCAGAUCCUCCAGCCUCCAUCCCUCCACUGGUUCAACUUCAUACUUCCACACAAUCGUACACCCGGCGUCCUUCGGCACCACUUGAACGGUCGAAAUGUACGAGUUAAACCCAACAUUCCCAUCUAUGAUAGAGUAACUAUAUGUCAUAUUUGCUGGGUCAAUAGUCAGCAGCUUCUGCUUAGUCCAGUUCACCUUCUCUUGGUCUUGGUUCUGGUCACUUUUAGGAUCAACCGGAGUCUUGAACCCAGCACAGAACCGCACGCACCCAGCUACCCCCGAUGUGCCUUCAACACCAUGGCAAGUUGUGAGAGUUGGGAACCACUCGUGCAGGCCAAAGAAGUCCUCCAAAAGAGGCCAAAUUUGCUCUGCUUUGGGGCCUUUUAGCUCUGCACUUGCCUUGCCUUCCCAUUUCAAUUGUUUCUCAAGUGCCAUUUGGUUUUCAGGACAAGAAAGCUAAUAACAAAUGGAUGCUUUGAAGAAUGUUUUUCUCAAUAGGCUUUAUAUAGAGGCUUCAUCUGUACGGGAACUGUUAUAUGCACUUCAUGUUGCACCCGUUCCUUCUAAUAAAAACACUUGGAAGAAUUACGUGUGAACAAUUGUAGAAUAACUUUCUUCAAGUGUCAACCACCGCUCUCUAUAUGCAUAUAAUUUCUAAAAUAUGAACUUAUGGUCAUGAGAUCUUGGUGAGAUAAAGCAAGUUCAAUAAGACGAGAGAUACUCUCUUGUCACCAAUUCACCACGUGACAAGCGUUUAUUGGACGGGUGAUGCCACUAGAAGAAGAAAUAUAAAAGAGAGAGAGAGAGAGAGAGAGAAAGAGAGAGAGAGAGAAUUUGUCCAAUGGACAAAGCACUCGUGUACCAUGAAUUUGGAGAAGAUAAGGACUGCUCAACGCCCAACAACUUUAAUCAGCACCACACGUCAGAGAUAUUGAGUUAGAUUUCCUCAAAUUUAUGUGGUGGAAUUUGAAGAUUCUCCCUCCUUUCCGAGGUAUACAAGAAACUAGAAAAGGAUGCAAAACAUCACUAUCAAACCAUAUUUAACAGCCCUGCAAUAAUAUUGGGAUGCAACUUCAGUUGUAUCUCAAGCCAAUCAUACAUUGUCACGUAUACGUAAAUGGCCUGGGAUGCCGCCACAAUAGCAUCUCGUUAUAGGCAAGUUUUUAUCCUCUUACUGAUCCCUAGUAAGUAGUGAUUGAUAGUAGGCUUCAUCUUGAUGAUGAGAUCACUGAAUCAGAAGAAUAGUAAUUGCAGAAGUAAAGGACCAGCUUGAAUGGUAAUAUUAACUGAAACCGAAACUUUAUUUCUGAAAUAGCACCGAGAAAGUAAACAUUUUAGUACGUAUGUAUGACUAUUCGACAUCAAACUAUCACCUUUCUCGGACCUAAGGCCCAGAAAAUGUCCAACGACUUGUUAGAAAACUCGAAAUUAGACUGUACAAAGUCACUCAAGAAGAAAUGUUACUAAUUCAACUCACUUUCUACCUCUAGUUUCUUCUGCUUGUGCAGAUACUUGUAAUGUUAAUGACAUAUUGUUUCGGCUAUGAAUCUGAAACGGAACUGCCUCCCUGUGUAGCCUCUUCAACGGUAUCAAUCCUUGAGGUGUCUGAACUUGUUUCCACCUUCGCUUUAAUGUCAAUGUUCGAGUCUUGUACUGAAAUUUUGCUUUUGGCUUCCAAAUCAGCACCAGUUGUUCCUUCUUUAGAUCCAACUUCUUCAUUUACCUUGUUUUCUCUGAUGUCACUUUGAUUGUUAGAACUCGAAUUCAUUUCCUGAUGUCCGGUAAUUGCGUGAUCACCGCCUGUUCCAGUCACUAUGUAUUCUAUGAGAUCAUGGCCAUCUACUGGCACGCCAUUCACAUCAUCAAAGCCAUGGACCUCUCUGUCUGCCACUCAAUUUUGGCCCUCAAGAGAGUCAUUCUUACUUUCACCACGUGUAAUGUCCUUGUAUGUAGUACUCAAUUCCAUCAAUCACUUUGGCUCCUUGUCAGUGGUACGAGAUUCCUCCAAAUCUCUUUGUCUCCUUAGCUUAGCCCCUUUCAUUUUCUUUCUCGUCGUGCUUAUCUUGUGGUAUUUGCUCCUUGUCCUCUCCUACUUCAUCAUGAUUCCCAUGUUUCGCACCAUCUUGAUCAGCGAAAAUUGCCUGCGUACCUUCGUGUCCCUCUUGGUAAUUUUCUUCAUGCGAAGAACACUUGUCGAGCCCCACCGAUUCAUCAUUUCCUUUAACUUCACCACCAGAAUUAUCAUCUUUAUUGUUCAAUUCUUUUUUCUGAAUUUCUGUUUCCUUUUCAACUUAAUUCACUUCGUUUACGUUCUGCAAAGAUUCUUCCUCAUUUUUCUCUUCAACAUUUCCAUCUUCUUUCUUUACACUUUCUUCUCCUACAUGUUUUGGAUCUUCUGGUGCAGACACACCUCCACCUUUUGACCACCCUGCACUCCCCUUACGUCCGAAAAUAUCAGAACCGCUUCGCUGGCCUUGUCCUUUGAACUUUCACUAUAGUCCUUGCCAUGUGACUGCUUCAUCUGGUAUAGCAACCAGAAGCAAACAGCCAAAAUCAAUGCAAUCUGAAUUGCAUGUUUCACCUUCAACCCUUUGGCGGGUCUCUGGUUGCGCCCGGCAAUCAUCACAACGAUAAGCAAGUCAAGGUUGCAUUUAUAAAAUAUAAAAGACCACCACCCCCCCCCCCUCCCCCCAAAAAAAGAAGAGAAAAAAAAAAAACCACCAAAAACCAGCAAUUAGGGUUUUGUUGUCAACAUCAAAAAAAGGAAAAAUCGCAUAUUAUUAUCACCAAUUAGGGUUUUGCAAAUUUCCAAUCAGAGAACUCCCCUCCCCAUCAAAUUCAGACCUUAAUAUCUUUCUUAAUUAAAUUUCCUCCUGACAAUAUACAACGAUCUACUAACUAAACCAAAAUUUAUGAACAGAAAACAGAAAAACCAGAUAACCCUCAGUUUGGUUUCCGAGAAAAUGCAGGAAAAUGAACUAAAGUUUGAAUCUAUGAGUCAACUAAGUCCAAAUCCAAGUCAAGUCCAUAAUUUUCAGGAAGCUUCCAAUAUUUCCAAAUCAAUUCACGUUCUUCUGCUAUAAUGACUUAUCUUCCCCCAGCACUGCACGCUUUAAAGGUUAUAUUCGCAUAUCCAUUCUAACUUUAUGGCCUAGAAAUCUUUUGAUUUAUGAAAUGAUUCUUAUUUUAUUAUUCAAUCGUCUGAAAUGUGUUUGUAUCAUAUGACAGAGAAGCGAAGAAGCUCUAGUGAUGAUGGAGAAGGCUAUCACGUGACAAGCGUUUAUUGGAGGGAUGAUGCCACUAGAAAAAAAAAAAGAAAAAAAAAGAGACAUUGAGUGAGAAUUGUCCAAUGAGGCAAAGCACUCGUGUAAUAUGAAUUUGGAGAAGAUAAGGACUGCUCAACGCCUAACAACUUUUAUCAGCACCACAUGUCAGAGAUAUUAAGUUAGAUUUCCUCAAAUUGAUGUGAUAGAAUUUGACGAUUCUCCCUCCUUUUCGAGGUAUAGAAGAAACUAGGAAAGGAUACAAAACAUCACUAUCAAUCCAUUUAACAGCCUUGCAAUAAUAUUGGAAUGCAACUGCAGUAGUAUCUCAGGCCAAUCAUAUAUAUUGUCACGUAUAUGUAAAUGGCCUGGGAUGCUGCCACAAUAGCAUCUCAUUAUAGGCAAGUUUUUAUCCUCUUACUGAUCCCUAGAAAGUAGUGAUUGAUGUUGGAAUUAAAUAGAAUUCAGUUUUGUUCAAGUGUUUAAGAAGGAAGAAAUCAAUAGAAAAGUGUAUGUCUAGUCUCAUAAGACAAGUGUAUGCUUUAGAUCUUUGUUUUGAAUCAAGGGCUGAGAUUGCUCUAGAUUAGCUUGUAAGGAAAUAUCCUAAGUUGAUAUUUAUUGAAAUAUCUGUGAUUACUUCACAGAUAAGAAACCUUUCACAUUUUUUCCCCGAUUCUGUUUUUCUCUGGUUCAUCUUCUUGUCUGCCUCCAGGAACCAAAACUAACUCACCAGAAUUUAUCAUGGCCUCAGAGCUUAGGUUCUGAUCAAAUUCAGGACUGGGCGUUUUGUGUGUGUGCUUCGUAUCUCUGAAAAGGAAAGGAGGAAAAACAUACCCAGAUCGUGAAAAUCUCAUAUGUUCUUACAAAGCCUCACAUGGUUACUUCGAGCAGUGGAGGAGAUCUGAGGGCUCCUAUUUUCAAUGGGAUCAACUACGAUUUUUGGUCCAUCAAGAUGAAGACCAUAUUCAAAUCACAUGAUCUCUGGAAUUUGGUGGACAAGGGUUAUGAAGCUGUAGAAACUGAAAAUGAUUCUAGCGAUGAAGAUCAACAGUCUGUGAGGAAGAUAGCAAUGAAAGUUAAUGAAACAAGAGAUGCAAAAGCUCUUGGUAUCAUUCAAGGGGCAGUGUCUGAUGAGAUCUUUCCUCGAAUCUCAAACUUUGAAACCUCCAAGACUGCAUGGGAUGUUCUUCAACAAGAAUUUCGUGGUGAUAAAAAGGUUAGGUCUGUCAAACUACAAUGUUUAAGAAGAGAUUUUGAGUACACUAGGAUGAAUGAUGGUGAAGCUCUAUCUGUUUAUUUAACAAGAUUGACUGAUAUUGUGAAUCAAAUGAAAACUCUUGGUGAAGAACUGACAAAUCAAAGAUUAGUGCAAAAGAUACUUAUUAGCUUGCCUAAAUCUUAUGAUUCCAUCGCAUCUAUUAUAGAAGAAACUAAAGACCUUGACUCCAUUGAGGUUCAAGAAGUGAUUGGUACAUUGAAAGGCUAUGAGCAGAGGUUAAAUAUGCAUUCUGAAAACUUAGCUGAAAAGGCUUUUACUAGCCUAAGUGUGACUGAGAGAGAUAGUAGUUACAGGGGUCAGGGGAGCAACUCAAAUCAAAAGAAAUUAUGGAAAGGAAAAGGGAAGAAAUGGGACAACAACCAUACUUCACAAUCAAAAUCAGAAUCUAGCAGUGAGUCUACCAAAACCAAGUGUAAAAUCUGUGACAAAUUACACUAUGGUGUUUGCUGGUUCAAGGGAAAACCCAAAUGCACCAAGUGUGACAGAUUUGGUCAUCUAGCAAAAGAUUGUAAUCCAAGAAGGAACCAAGUUGUCAACUAUGCACAUAGAGCAGAAGAAGAGGAAGUAAAUGUCUUUUAUGCUUGUAGUGUUGCAAAAACUGAAAACAAGAAAGGAAUCUGGUAUAUUGACAGUGGAUGCAGUAAUCACAUGACUGCAUAUGAAUCCUUACUGAUCAACAUUGACAGAAGCUUCAAUUGCAGAGUUAAAAUGGGGAAUGGACAACUAGUGGAAGCUACUGGAAAAGGAACUCUUGUUCUAGAGACAAAGGGUGGAAGAAGAUUCAUCAAGGAUGUAAUACUUGUACCAGGUCUUGAUGAGAAUCUCCUUAGUGUGGGACAGAUGAUUGCUCAUGGUUACUUCUUACUUUUUGGAGACAAUAUGGUGGAGAUCUUUGAUGACAGAAGCCUCCAAAACUUGGUAACACAAGUUGGCAUGACAGAAAACAAAAGCUUUCCACUUAUGCUAGAUUACAAUGAUUCAAUUGCUCUAAAAGCAAGUGUUGCAGAAAAACUCUUGGUUAUGGCAUAAGAGGUUCGGACAUCUCAACUUUCACAGUUUAAAGAGAUUGGAGAAACUACAAAUGGUGACUGGUCUUCCUGAGUUACAAGAGACUAAAGAACCGUGUGAAGGUUGCAUACUGGGGAAGCAUCACAGGGACUCUUUUGAAACUGGAAGUGCAUGGAGAGCAAGUCAACCUCUAGAACUCAUACACACAGAUGUGUGUGGUCCAAUGAAGACACCUACACUCAGUGGGAACAGAUAUUUUUCUGCUAUUCAUUGAUGACUGCACUAGGAUGGUUUGGGUAUAUCUUAUGAGAAACAAGAGUGAAGUCUUUUCAAUCUUCAAGAAAUUCAAAAUGAUGGUUGAACUUCAGAGUGGUCUCAAGAUCAAAAGACUAAGAAGCGACAGAGGUGGUGAAUUCACUUCACUUGAGUUCCAAGAAUUCUGUGAAGGAGCAGGAUUACAGAAGCAAUUGACAGUGGCCUACACACCACAACAGAAUGGUGUGGCUGAGAGGAAGAACAGGACCGUGGUUGAAAUGACCAAGUCAAUGCUCCAUGAUAAGAAAAUGCCACUUUCUUUUUGGGGUGAAGCUGUCAAUACAUCUGUGUAUCUCCUAAACAGGUGUCCAACUAAAGCACUUGAGAAGAAAACACCGUUUGAGGCAUUUAGUGGCAGAAAACCAAGUGUGAAGCACUUGAAAGUGUUCGGAUCAAUUUGCUAUGCACAGAUACCAUCUCAACUACGACACAAGCUUGAGAUCAAUAGUGUCAAGUGUGUCCUUGUAGGUUAUGGAAGCUGUGAAAAGGGCUAUAGGCUCUACAAUAUUGAGUCACGUAAAGUGAUCCUCUCAAGGGAUGUGGUGUUCAAGGAGAAUGAAGCAUGGAAUUGGGAAACCAAUAACAUAUACACUAUCUCAUUUCCACUAGCAAUGGAAGAAGCACAAGCUGAAGUGCAAAAUGUGAAUGAACCUGUUAUACAAGAUGAGAGUCAAACUGAUUUUUCAACUCCAACACAAGGAUCUCAGUCCUCUACUUCAAAUGCAGAAGGACAAGAAUUACAGGAUUCCUCCCCGGAAACAACUCCAUCGAGAAUGAAGAGUUUAAAUGAGAUAUAUGCAGUGUGUAACUAUUGUGUUGUUGAACCUGAGAGUUUUGAAGAAGCUGAGAAGGAUCAAUCCUGGCAGAAAGCAAUGAAUGAAGAAAUUGCCAUGAUUGAGAAAAACUCUACUUGGAAAUUGGUAAAUAGACCGAGAGAUAAACCUGUGAUAGGUGUGAAAUGGAUUUACAAGAUCAAACUGAAUUUGGAUGGAUCAAUACAGAAGAACAAAGCAAGAUUAGUUGCCAAGGGCUACUCACAACAACCUGGGGUAGAUUUCAAUGAAACUUUUGCCCCAGUGGCAAGGUUAGACACCAUUAGAACCUUGAUUGCUCUUGCUGCCCAAAAGGGAUGGAAACUUCACCAGUUAGAUGUCAAAUCAGCUUUUCUAAAUGGCAUUUUGGAGGAAGAAGUGUAUGUGGAUCAACCACAAGGAUUUGAAGUGCCAAAUAAAGAGGAGAAGGUCUACAAGUUAAACAAAGCACUGUAUGGACUCAAACAAGCCCCCAGGGCUUGGUACAGUGAGAUAGACUCCUAUUUCAGCAAGAGUGGAUUUAACAAAAGUCCUAGUGAAGCAACAUUAUAUACAAAAACUGGUGAGAACUCUGAGAUGCUUAUUGUGUCUAUAUAUGUUGAUGAUGUGGUCUUUACUGGUAAUUGUGAAGAAAUGAUUGAAGAAUUCAGAAGGGAAAUGAUGAGACAAUAUGAGAUGUCGGAUCUUGGCUUGUUGCAUCACUUCUUGGGAAUUGGAGUAAUACAAGAAACUACUGGGAUUUUCAUACAUCAACAGAAGUAUGCACAAUCACUGCUUGAAAGAUUCAAUCUGAAAGGAUGCAAAUCUGUGGCAACACCAUUGAUCACGAAUGAGAAACUUUGUAAAGUGGAUGGUUCUGAAUCUGCUGAUGAAUGCUUAUACCGAAGAAUGGUUGAAAGUCUGCUUUAUUUGACUGCUACAAGACCUGACAUUAUGUAUGCAGCCAGUCUCUUAUCAAGGUUUAUGCAUAAUCCCACGAGAAUUCACAUGGGAACUGCUAAGAGAGUACUAAGGUAUAUCUCAGGGACCUUGGAUUAUGGAAUCAAAUAUGAAAAGGGAAAAAAAGCAAUUAUGGUAGGCUUCUGUGACAGUGAUUGGGGUGGCAGUGAAGAUGACAUGAGAAGUACCACAGGAUAUGCAUUUACAUUCGGUUCUGGGAUAUUUUCUUGGGCUUCUGUCAAGCAACAAAGUGUUGCAUUGUCUACGGCUGAAGCAGAGUAUGUGAGUGCUGCAAUGGCUACCUCCCAAGCUAUAUGGUUGAGGUUUGUGUUAAAGGAUUUUGGUGAAAUGCAAGUGGAUGCUUCACCACUUAUGUGUGACAACACAUCAGCAAUAGCUAUGACCAAGAAUCCUAUUUUUCAUCAGAAAACCAAGCAUAUCAAAAGGAAGUUUCACUUCAUAAGGGAAGCCUUGCAAGAGAAUACCAUUGAACUGAUCUACUGCAAAUCACAGGAUCAAAUGGCCGACAUCUUCACCAAAGCUCUACCGAGGGAAAGGUUUGUCUAUCUCAGAGGAAUGCUUGGGAUCAAAACCAGAAUUCAUUUAAAGGGGAGUGUUGGAAUUAAAUAGAAUUCAGUUUUGUUCAAGUGUUUAAGAAGGAAGAAAUCAAUAGAAAAGUGUAUGUCUAGUCUCAUAAGACAAGUGUAUGCUUUAGAUCUUUGUUUUGAAUCAAGGGCUGAGAUUGCUCUAGAUUAGCUUGUAAGGAAAUAUCCUAAGUUGAUAUUUAUUGAAAUAUCUGUGAUUACUUCACAGAUAAGAAACCUUUCACAUUUUUUCCCCGAUUCUGUUUUUCUCUGGUUCAUCUUCUUGUCUGCCUCCAGGAACCAAAACUAACUCACCAGAAUUUAUCAAUUGAUAGUAGGCUUCAUCUUGAUGAUGAGAUCACUGAAUCAGAAGAAUAGUAAUUGCAGAAGUAAAGGACCAGCUUGAAUGGUAAUAUUAACUGAAACCGAAACUUUAUUUCUGUAAUAUCACCGAGAAAGUAAACAUUUUAGUACGUAUGUAUGACUAUUCGACAUAAAACUAUCACCUGUUCUCGGAUCUAAGGCCAAGAAAAUGUCCAACGACUUGUAAGAAAACUCGAAAUUAGACUGUACAAUGUCACUCAAGAAGAAAUGUUACUAAUUCAACUCACUUUCUACCUCUAGUUUCUUCUGCUUGUGCAGAUACUUGUAAUGUUAAUGACAUAUUGUUUCGGCUAUGAAUCUGAAACGGAACUGCCUCCCUGUGUAGCCUCUUCAACGGUAUCAAUCCUUGAGGUGUCUGAACUUGUUUCCACCUUCGCUUUAAUGUCAAUGUUCGAGUCUUGUACUGAAAUUUUGUUUUUGGCUUCCAAAUCAGCACCAGUUGUUCCUUCUUUAGACCCAACUUCUUCAUUUACCUUGUUUUCUCUGAUUUCACUUUGAUUGUUAGAACUCGAAUUCAUUUCCUGAUGUCCGGUAAUUGCGUGAUCACCGCCUGUUCCAGUCACUAUGUAUUCUAUGAGAUCAUGGCCAUCUACUGGCACGCCAUUCACAUCAUCAAAGCCAUGGACCUCUCUGUCUACCACUCAAUUUUGGCCCUCAAGAGAGUCAUUCUUACUUUCACCACGUGUAAUGUCCUUGUAUGUAGUACUCAAUUCCAUCAAUCACUUUGGCUCCUUGUCAGUGGUACGAGAUUCCUCCAAAUCUCUUUGUCUCCUUAGCUUAGCCCCUUUCAUUUUCUUUCUCGUCGUGCUUCUCUUGUGGUAUUUGCUCCUUGUCCUCUCCUACUUCAUCAUGAUUCCCAUGUUUCGCACCAUCUUGAUUAGCGAAAAUUGCCUGCGUACCUUCGUGCCCCUCUUGGUAAUUUUCUUCAUGCGAAGAACACUUGUCGAGCCCCACCGAUUCAUCAUUUCCUUUAACUUCACCACCAGAAUUAUCAUCUUUAUUGUUCAAUUCCUUUUUCUUUUUUCUGUUUCGUUUUCAACUGUUGGAAAAUAAUAGUAUUUUGGUUUAUUUGAAUGUUUGGUUUUCUUGGCUUAGCUCGUUAGAAUUAGGUUUUGUUAGUUUAUUAUAAAUAUGGUGCUUUGUUAUUCAUUAGAGAACAAGCUAGUCACAAUGUAGCCUAUUAGGGUUUUGUAGUCGUUCUGACAUUCUCGUUUGUUUAAUAAUAUUCUUAUUAUUUUGUAGUAUUGUUCGUUGCGCACUCUGAUUUUCAACUUGGUAUCAAAGCAGGUUUGAUUUUUUGGGUUGAAUCUGUUACAAAGCCGUGAAACCCAUAAAUCAUUUCUGUUUCCAUUGUCUGAUCAGAACCCUCUUGCACCCACACCCUGAUCCGUAGCUGUCGUUGCCCCGUGUUGCUGCAAUCUGAUCCGUUUGCAUCGACACCUUGUUCUUGCACUCGCACCGUUUUCUCACUUAUUACAUAUUUGCCUAUUCAUUUAUUACAUAAUUACCUUUGAAUCCUCCGAGUAUUUAUACGAGAUCUAAAUACGGAGGCCCUAAGUAUGGUAUAAACAGUAGUCCCCCAAGUCUUCAGUCAAGAGAGUCUUUUGGCUGGAAACUUGAAAUUCAGUCCAUGUGUGGGCUGAAGUAACUAGAUGUCGUCUAGAACUGAUACUCGAUAUGAGGCGGUACUCAAUCUGAAAUGAUGCUCAACUAGAAGUAGCACAUGUUGCGAGGCUGCUCUGCUUGUGGCUUAUGUUGCCUUGGUUGGCUCGGCUUGUGGCGUUGAAGGUGAGGGAGUCCCUUUUAUAGAAUAAGGGCUCACUCCUCAAUACAUAAAUGAUGGGCUAGAAUCGAUACGCGCGGCGAGGCGGUUGCUCAGCAGGCGGCGAUGUUCUCUAAUAAUGGUGAGGGAGUCCCUUUUAUAGAAUAAGGGCUCGCUCCUCAAUACAUAAGUGAUGGGUUAGGAGUGAUGCUCGCCGCGAGGCGGUUGCUCAGCAGGCGGCGAUGCUCUCUAAUGAUGGUGAGGGAGUCCCUUUUAUAAAAUAAGGGAUCGCUCUUCAAUACAUAAAUAAUGGGUGCUCUCUAAUGAAAGUGGGGGAGUCCCUUUUAUAGAAUAAGGGCUCGCUCCUCAAUACAUAAGUGAUGGGCUAAGUCCCCCAAGUAUUUUUCAUGAAGCCCAGUUGAGGCCCAAUAUAUGGUAUAUAAUGUAGUCCCCCAAGUCUUCAGUCAAUAGAGGUUGUUGGCUGGAGACUUUCAAAUUCAAGCCAUGUAUGGGCCGAAGUGGUGGUUGUUCGGAGGCGGUCUUUGUAAACCAUGCACUGAAGCUUUGUAGGUGAAGCUUUGAAGCUAAAGCUUUUGUAAAUGAAGCUUUUGAAGCUGGAGCUCUCGAAGCUGGAGCUCUGUAAAUGAAGUUUUCGAAGCUGAUUGACAUGAGUGAUGCUCAUGAAUAUUUAUGUUGAUUGACAUGAGUGAUGCUCAUGGAUGUUGACAUGAGUGAUGCUCAUGAAUGUUGACAUGAAUGAUGGUCAUGAAUGUUUAUGUAUGAUUGACAUAAGUGAUGCUCAUGAAUGUUUAUGUAUGAUUGACAUGAGUGAUGUUUAGGGAAGGCCAAUUCUUAGGCCAUGGAAGGGCUUUCUCACCCUCAGAAGCUCUCUCCAUCUCUCUCCCUCACAAAUAGAGAAAUACAAAUAUCAGUGUGGACGUAGCCCAAACAUUGGGGUGAACCACGAUACAUCUUGUGUUAUUUACAUUUCUUGCAGAUUCACGGUCGGAUUUACGUUGCUCCAAGAUCUCCGAUUUUGUGCAUCAACAGAGGCUAGAGAAAUCGCAGAGACAUUGUCACACCAAAGAGUGGGAAUGACAGUGAGUUGAAGAGCAACAUCUCUGAAAAUUUUACACACCCAUAUGAGUUCAGCUGCAGUGUGCGCAAGAGAUCUAUAUUCGGCCUCUGUAGAAGAUCGAGCAACAAUAUGUUGCUUUUUGGCACUCCAACUAAUCAAGUUUCUGCCCAAAUAUAUAUAGUAGCUACUUGUAGACAUUUGAUCAAACACACAACCGGCCCAAUCUGCAUCAGAAUAGGCUGUAAGGUGCAAGGAACUCUUCGUAAACCACAUUCCUUGAUCAAAUGUACCUUUUAAGAACCGUAAGAUUCUCUUGACAUCCUGAAAGUGUGAAUCACGAGGACAAUGAAGAAAUUGGCAGACUUGAUUCACUGCAAAGGAAAUGUCAGGUCUGGUCCAAGUGAGAUACUGUAGAGCCCCGACGAUAGACUUGUAUUCUUUAGGAUCAGCUAAUGGAACGCCAACAUGAUCAAGCUUUUGAGUUCCCAAAGGGGUAACACAAGGUUUACAACCUUCCAUGUUUGUCUUGAUUAAGAGAUCUAAAGCAUAUUUGCUUUGAGACAGAAAGAUGUCGUCAUUGGAUCUAUGAACUUCUAGUCCAAGGAAAUAGUGCAAUGAGCCUAAAUCCUUAACUAGAAAUAAGGAACCAAGAUGCUGAAUAAAGUGUUGACAUAGAGAGGUAUUGGGACCAGUUACCAGUAUAUCAUCCACAUAUAUAAGGAUUAGGACAAGGAAUGGUUUAAGUUUCACAAACAGAGAGCAAUCAGAUUGAGAGUUUGUAAAACCAAGAGAUACCAGAGUGUGAAAGAGCUUGUCAUACCAUGCCCUAGGGGCUUGCUUUAAGCCGUAGAGAGAGCGUUUGAGUUUGAAAACAUGUGAAGGUUUGGAUGGAUCAAUAAAACCGGGUGGUUGUUGCAUAAAAACCUUUUCUUGGAGAUUUCCAUGGAGGAAGGCAUUGUUGCUGUCAAGUUGGUUUAAAAACCAAUCAUAUUGGACUACAAGUGUAAGGAGAAUGCGAAUGGUAAUAGGUUUGGCAACCGGGCUGAAAGUCUCUUUGAAAUCAACACCUUCUUAUUGAUGGAAGCCCUUAGCAAUAAGACGGGCUUUGUAUCGAUCAAUAGAACCAUCAGGUUUCCUUUUGAUUCGGAAAACCCAUUUGCAUCCGACUAGAUUUUGAUGAGGAGAUGAGGGUACAAUAUUCCAAGUGCCGGUGGACUGGAGAGCUUGAAAUUCUUCCAUCAUGGCUUUAUUCCAGUGAUCAUAUUUGGAGGCUUGCAAAUAAGUAGUAGGCACAAAAGAAGUAGAAUCAAUAGGAUGUUUUAUAGCUGUUAAUACUUUUGGCUUGAAAAUUCCAGCUUUAGACCGAGUGAUCAUGGGAUGAGUGUUUGUGGGAACUGAAAUUAAAGAAGAAUGAUGCUCUUGAGAUGAGGCAAAAGCUUGAGUGUGUUGGGAAUGUUGAGGUGGAGAGACUAAUGGUGUUGAGGAAGAACCUUGAGAUAUAUAUGGACCCGGAGAUGAAUGAGACACAGAAGACGGUUGGGUGGUAGAGAUGUUUGAUUGAGGAAAUGGCAAUGAGAACUCAGUUGAUGUAGAUGAGGAAGUACAAUGUGUGUGAAGAAGUUUGGUGAGGAUAAGAAAAUCAUGAAAUGGAAAAUGGUCUUCAUUGAAAAGGACAUGCCGUGAGAUAUAAACCCUGUUGGACAGUGUAUCUAAACACCUAUAGCCUUUGUGUUGAAGACUAUAGCCCAGAAAAACACAUGGUGUGCUUUUACCAUCCAACUUUGAUUGCAUAUAUGGCUUAAGCCAAGGGUAGCAGCAUCAACCAAAUAUCUUCAACUUUGAAUAAUCAUGAGGCAUGUUAAAAAGAAUUUCCCAUGGAGACUGAGAGGAUCCAGAGAUAGGUAGUCAAUUGAUAAGAUACAGUGCAGUAGAAAAAGCAUCUACCCAAAAUCUGUGUGGAACUUUAGAAGCAACAAGAAGUGUCCUUGCAGUCUCAAUAAGAUGUCAAUGCUUGCGUUCCACACAACCAUUUUGUUCAGGUGUGUGUGGGCAGCUAAAUUGAUGAGAAAUACCAUGCUGAAGCAAGAAAGAAAUAAAUGCAGAACUUGUGAACUCACCCCCUGAAUCUGUUCGAAAAAUCUUGAUUUUAUUUCCAAGUAAAUUUUCAACAUAUGUUUUGAAAUUUACAAAGAUAGAAAAGACUUCAGACUUUGCCUUUAAAGGAAACAUCCAACUGUAUUUGUUAUACUCAUCUACAAAGAGUACAUAGUACUUAUAGCCACUAACAGAUGAAACUGGACAGGGACCCCAGACAUCACAAUGAAUCAAGUCCAAGUUAUUUAAGACAGUGGUGGUACUAGAAGAAAAUGGCAGCUUGUGAUGUUUACCAAUUGCACAGUUUGCACAAAAAAACUUAACAGAAGCUGAAUUAUUAGUAACAAGCUUAUUUGGAUGCAAUAUCCUUCUGAGAAUGGUUGUUGAAGGGUGGCCAAGGCGUUUGUGCCAUUGUUGUAAUGAAACCUGAGUGCUAACAAGUGCAGAGAAUGAAGCUUGGAAUGGUUGUCCUUUCAGAUGAUAGAAACCAUCCCUAACUGGGCCCCGAAAAAACGUCUUCCCAGUGGAACGGUCAUUGAUGACAAAACCAUCAUAAUCAAGAGUUAAAGAGCAAUAAUUGUCUCUUAGAAAUUGAUACGCAGAGAGCAAAUUGAAUUGCAUCAUUGGCACAUGGAGAACAUUAUUUAAGUGUUUUAAGUACAGAAGAACCGGUGUGGUGAAUUGGCAUACCUUGACCAUCACCAGCAUAAACCUUGUUUUCACCAGAGUAAGGGAUGGGAGAAGAUAUUGCUGAGAUAUCAUUGGUGACAUGAGCAGUGGAGCCAGAGUCCAGAAGCCAUGUAGGCUGAGAGGAAGAAGAAGUAUUGGCACACAUAGCAACAAGCUUGGCAGGUGGAAUCUUUCCAGCAAAAGCAUGGUUCAUUCGAGCAUAGCAAUCAAGGGCCUCAUGAUCAAAAGAAUUGCAUAUUUGACAGGGAGACCGAUUUCCAGAAUUAUGAGUAUAGCCACCAGAAUUACGAUUGUAGUUACCAGAGUUGUGACGGAAAUUAUCAUUACCAGUGCCAAAAUUGUUGUAAUUGCCACGAUAGUUACCACGACCUUUAUUGUUCUUCUGAAAAUUGCCUCGGCCACGGUUAUUGCGCUGGAAAUUGGAGCGAUUGAUGUAGUUAGAUUGGUGGACAUCAUUAGCCUGUUAGGAAUGAGGCGUAGGUAAAAGACCUUGCUGGAGAGAUGGACCUUAAGCAGCAAAUGCAUGAAAUGGUUAUGUAAGGGAAGAUGCAGAAGCUUUCUUCUUUCUAUGCAUGAAAAGUUCUUUGUUCAGAAAGAGGCCAUGAAGUUCAUCUAAGGAAGUAGAUGAAAUUCGAAGCAUGAUAGAAUCUACGAAGGAUUCAUAAUCAUCAGAGAGGCCAUUUAAGAUAACAUCAAUAAGAUCUUGAUCUAACACCGGAGCUCCGGCAGCCGUAAGAGCGUCAAAUAUGCCUUUGAUACGCUAUAGAUAAUCAGAGAUUGACAUAUCGCCUUUCUGAAUGGCAUGAAGACGUGAUCAGAGUUGAUGAAUGUGCGCCACUGAGACACCGUCAAAUCGUUGUUCAAGAAUCUGCCAUAAUUCUCGAGACGAAGUAACCCUGACGGUGAAUGGAAUGAGAUAUUCAGAGAAGGUUGAAUUCAGCCAGAUAAGGAUAUUUUGAUCCUUUUCAAACCAGAUCUCGAAAGUAGGAUUAGGAACUGCAGUAGUUGCACCAUAUUGAUCAAGAAUAAAAGGCGGUGGACACACCUCCGAUCCAUCGAUAAUGCAUGUAAGUUUGUAUCGUCGAAAAAUUGGAGCGAAAAGAGCUUUUCAGACCAGAUAAUUAUCCCACUUAAGCUUUGUAGGAACCAUACAACUGAUGUUUUGAAUUGAAAUUGAAGAAAUUGAACAGAGAUUCGAAGAGUUAGGGUUUAUCGGAACAAAAUUUGAUGAAAGAUGGGUGGGAUUCUGAGUGAAAACUUCCGGAUUUGCAAGUGAAGAAGUAGAAGACACCAUUGGGGAUCAAGAUUUGCAGGGAGAAAAUCAAAGAGGAUCAGAGAAAUCGAAGAUUGCAGAAGAAGCUAGGAUUGGUGAUUGAGCAGAGAGGCAAUUGAUACCAUAUAAGAAAUAACUCUGAUAUUUCAUUUCUUAAUGAAUAAGAAAUUACAAUGGGUUUAUAUACAGCAGAGAAAAAUAGCUUAGUAACUAAUUACAUCUAGUUAACUCACUAAUCUAGUAAUUAGUUACAAGGACAGUUGUAACACACUUGUAACAAAAAUACAACUAACUAUUUAUAUGCCUUUUUACUAGCUCUGUGUUAUUUGACGAAACCUCACAUCUCCAUUUUUUCCGACGAGUUGCAGGUUUCCCAUCGUGUUUUCCGGCCAAACCUCGUCAAAUUGGAUGAGGUUAGCACCACCAACAAACUGUUCUCCAUCCCUGGACACAGAUCGAAGCUUUGCAUGCUCGAAUCUGUCAUGGAUUCGAAGAAACCCAAACAUGCCAAGACUUCCGGGCCAAUUUACGGCCACCUCCGAUCAUCUUUUGGCCUCGAUUCCGGUAGAAACUGAAUCCCCUCACUCCCAACUUCAGUUUGGUAUAUUUUUAUGUGAAAAUUGGUUGUGAAACGUAUUUGAAAGAGAUGGUCGAAUCGAAAAGUUAACGGCAAUGUGUGGUCGGAGGUCACAAGGAGUGGCCGUAAGUAGUCGUCGAGCAAGACAAGGAUGAGAGAAAUGAUGGUCUUAGCUAGUUCCAUGGUUCUCGGCGGUACUCGCUAAGACCAGAUAGUCCUGCCCUUAGUCGAGGCGAGUGAGAGCUAGUCUCACUAAAGCUAAUCCUUGCUGGGAACAAACAUGGGACUUGACUAACCCUUAAUUUUGUCUAGUCCAGUGAAUUUUAACGAGGACAAACAAAUGCCCCCUUCUAAUUUCUUCUAUACCUCGGAAAGGAGGGAGAAUCUUCAAAUUCUAUCACAUAAAUUUGAGGAAAUCUAACUGAUCAAUAUCUCUGACGUGUGGUGCUGAUCAAAGUUGUUAGGCAUUGAGCAGUCCUUAUCUUUCUCCAAAUUUCUGGUACAUGAGUGCUUUGUCUAAUUCUCCCUUUUUUUUGUUGUUUUUUUUUCUUUUCCUAAUGGCAUCACCCAUCCAAUAAACGCUUAUCAAGCGGUGAAUUGGGAGAGAUUUUUUAGUGUGACUGGUACACGGGUGAUACACCACGUGUCACUAUAUAAAUGAUAAGAUAUGUGUGUUAAAAAGUUCAUAACUUAGAACAUAAAAUUGUUCACCACUUAUAUAAAAACAAGUGAUGUACCCUCCGUAUUCCGGUCACAAUCAAAUUUUUUUCGUGAAUUGGUGAUAAGAGAGUAUCUCUCGUCUGAUUGAACUCUGCUUUAUCUUACCAAGAUCUCAUGACCGUAUGUUCAUAUUUUAGAAAUUAUAUGCACAUAGAGAACGGUGUUUCGCACUUCAAGAAAGUUAUUCUACAAUUGUUCACACGUAAUUCUUCUAAGUGUUUUUAUUAGAAGGAACGGGUGCAUCGUGAAGUGCAGAUAACAGCUCCCAUACAGAUGAAGCCUUUAUAUAAAGCGUAUUGAAAGAAACAUUCUACAAAGCAUCCAUUUGUUAUUAGCUUUCUUGUCCUGCAACCCAAAUGGCACUUGAGAAACAAUUGAAAUGGGAAGGCAAGGCAAGUGCAGAGCUAAAAGUGACCAGAACUUGCCAUGGUGUUGAAGGCACACCGGGGGUAGCCGGGUGCGUGUGGUUCUAUGCUGGGUUCAAGACUCCGGUUGAUCCUAAAAGUGACCAGAACCAAGACCAAGAGAAGGCGAACCGGACUAAGCAGAAGCUGCUGAGUAUAGACCCAGCAGAAAUGACAUAUAGUUACUCUAUCAUAGAUGGGAAUGUUGGGUUUAACUCGUACCUUUCGACCGUUCAAAUGGUGCCGAAGGACGCCGAGUGUACGAUUGUGUGGAAGUAUGAAGUUGAACCAGUGGAGGGAUGAAGGCUGGAGGAUCUGGACCUGUUUAUUGGCACUGGCUUGCAAGUCAUGGCAAGCAGAAUGGAAGCCUCUCUCCAGCUCCAAGUUGAAUAAUUGGAAACACAAAAGUGAUUUGGUAGAGAGAAUGGCAAGUGAUUUGUAUAACCCUGCAAUAAAACCGGCAACAAAAUCCAGUAAGGUUGAUAAGUUGUCGGACUUGUAGCUCCGAUCGUUAAAAGUAGUUACCCUUGUUUCAAGGUGGAUUAGGAUUUUUUUUUUUAGGGAUGAUUUAUGAAUGGGGGUAAGGCUAGCCGACAUUCACCUUUCCCAGAUCCUGCGUAAAGCGGGAGCCUUGUGCACUGGGUACAACCUUUAAGGGAUGAUUUAUGAAUGAUGAACUAAAAUAUAAACGUUUUUAAUCGUUGAAAAAAGUUACAGAGUGAACACCACAAGGUGCCCCUGAAAUAAACAAAAGAACCCUAAUUUUGAAUCUAGGUAAAUUCGACAAUUUAGACUUUUUGACGGGAAGAUCACGUAUGGAUUUUUAGAAUUUUGGUGAAAGAGAAAGACAGAGCAAUCAUAAACAUUAGGGUUAAAGAUGAUGAUACAAGUAAUUUUUCAACAUCAUGAUACAACUAUCCGUACAAGUACAGCAACUAUUAGUACUUGUGUCACAUCUUGUUCUCUACCAGUAUGUGAAUCACCUACAAAACUGAGGUCAGGUUCUACAGUAUGCAGACUGGAUGCGGAUGCCCGAAUGAGCAGGCAAGCCUCACGAACUAGGCCAUUCAUACGCCUUCGAAGUAAAAGCAGACUACUACUCGGGGCAGAGUCUAUUCAGCCGGAUAACUUGCACGAUGUUCUCUUUAACUGACUUCCGACAUGAUGGAUCUACUAAUCGUCUAGUUAACUUCUCAAUGUCAGCAUGUUGAAAAAUCAAGAGACGAGCCUUGAAGUAAGAUGCAAAUGAGAGCUACGAUUGUGUUGCGAUCAAAGCACUUAUGGAAAUUAAGUUAUCAAUAUUGGAUGUUAAUAAAGACUAAGAAAUAUGCUCAAAUCUCACCUUAAUGGUAGCGACAUCGGUUGAGGAUGGUUUCAAAUCCAAUGCAUAACUGAAAUGAAGCAUUGCUUUCUCAUGCAUGUUACGCCGCUUAUAGAUCUUACCCAUCAAAGCGUAGACACUACUUUCACGAGGAGAGUAUUCUUUAACCUCCUCUAAGACCGCUAAAGCUUCAUCGAACUUUUCUAAGCUCAUUAGUAUACUAGCCUUAUGAUACAUUGGAAGUGGAUUCUUCUUAUCCGCCCUAAUAGCCUUCUCCAUCAUCACUAGAGCUUCUUCGCUUCUCUGUCAUAUGAUACAAACACAUUUCAGACGAUUGGAUAAUAAAAUAAGAAUCAUUUCGUAAAUCAAAAGAUUUCUAGGCUGUAACAUUAGAAUGGAUAUGCGAAUGUAACCUUUAAAGCGUGCAGUGCUGAGGGAAGAUAAGUCAUUAUAACAGAAGAACGUGAAUUGAUUUGGAAAUAUUGGAAGCUUCCUUAAAGUUAUGGAAUUAAAUUGGAUUUGGACUUGGUUGACUCAAAGAUUAAAACUUUAGUCCAUUUUCCUGUAUUUUCUCGGAAACCAAACAGAGGGUUAUUUUGGUUUUUCUGUUUUCUGUUCAUAAACUUUGGUUUAGUUAGUAGAUCGUUGAACAUUGUCAGGACGAAAUUUAAUUAAGAAAGAUAUUAAGGUCUGAUUUUUUUUUUUUGGGGUCUUUCAUAAAUGAAACCUUGACUUACUUAUCGUUGUGAUGAUUAAUCGAGAAUUUAUAAGGAGCUUGUCUUUUGAGCAGUUGUAAAGAGUUUGGAUGAAUAACCAGUCUACCGGGCGUAACCAGAGACCUGCCAAAGGGUUGAAGGUGAAACAGGAAAUUCAGAUUGCAUUGAUUUUGGCUGUUUGCUUCUGGUUGCUAUACGAGAUGAAGCAGUCACAUGACAAGGACUAUAGUGAAAGUUCAAAGGACAAGGCCAGCGAAGAACGUGGUUCUGAUAUUUUAGGGCCGAAGGGGAGUGCAGGGUGGUUAAAAGGUGGAGUUGUGUCUGCAUCAGAAGAUCUGAAACAUGUAGGAGAAGUAAGUGUGUUGAUGCACAAAACCGGAGGUCUUGGAGCAACGUAAAUCCGACCGUGAAUCUGCAAGAAAUGUAAAUAACACAAGAUGUAUCGUGGUUCACCCCAAUGUUUGGGCUACGUCCACACUGAUAUUUGUAUUUUUCUGUUUGUGAGGGAGAGAGAUGGAGAGAGCUUUUGAGGGUGACAGAGCCCUUCCAUGGCCUAAGAAUUGGUCUCCCCUAAUGAGGAGAGUGAGGAGUCAUUUUAUAGAAUAAGGGCUCCUCACUUAUUACAUAUUUGCUCAUUCAUUUAUUACAUAAUUACAUUUGAGUCCUCCGAGUAUUUAUACUAGAUCUAAAUACAGAGGCCCUAAGUAUGUUACAAACAGUAGUCCCCCAAGUCUUCAGUCAAGAGAGUCUUUUGGCUGGAGACUUGAAAUUCAGUCCAUAUGUGGGCCGAAGUAACUAGAUGUCGUCUAGAACUGAUACUUGAUAUGAGGCGGUGCUCAAUCUGAAAUGAUGCUCAACUAGAAGUAGCACAUGUUGCGAGGCAGCUCUGCUUGUGGCUUAUGGUGCCUUGGUUGGCUUGGCUUGUAGCGUUGAAGGUGAGGGAGUCCCUUUUAUAAAAUAAGGGCUCGCUCCUUAGUACAUGAAUAAUGGGUUACGAGUGAUGCUCGCGGCGAGGCGGUUGCUCAACAGGCGGCGAUGCUAUCUAAUGAUGGUGAGGGAGUCCCUUUUAUAAAAUAAGGGCUCGCUCCUCAAUACAUAAAUAAUGGGUGCUCUCUAAUGAAAGUGAGGGAGUCCAUUUUAUAGAAUAAGGGCUCGCUCCUCAAUACAUAAGUGAUGGGCUAAGUCCCCCAAGUAUUUUUCAUGAGGCCCAGUUGAGGCCCAAUAUAUGGUACAUAAUGUAGUCCUCCAAGUCUUCAGUCAAUAGAGGUUGUUGGCUGGAGACUUUCAAAUUCAAGCCAUGUAUGGGCCAAAGUGGCGGUUGUUCGGAUGCGGUCUUUGUAGACCAUGCACUGAAGCUUUAUAUGUGAAGCUUUGAAAGUGAAGCUUUGAAACUGGAGCUUUUGUAAAGAAGCUUUUGAAGCUGGAGCUUUUGUAAAAGAAGCUUUUGAAGCUGGAGCUCUGUAAAUGAAGCUUUCGAAGCUGAUUGACAUGAGUGAUGCUCAUGAAUAUUUAUGUUGAUUGACAUGAGUGAUGCUCAUGGAUGUUGACAUAAGUGAUGCUCAUGAAUGUUAACAUGAGUGAUGCUCAUGAAUGUUAACAUGAGUGAUGCUCAUGAAUGUUGACAUGAAUGAUGGUCAUAAAUGUUUAUGUAUGAUUGACAUGAGUGAUGCUAAUGAAUGUUUAUGUAUGAUUGACAUGAGUGAUGCUCAUGAAUGUUUAUGUAUGAUUGACAUGAGUGAUGCUUAUGUAUAAUUUUGGAGUAUUGGACGUACUUUUGAUCACUUGGUUGGUGAUAAUAACGGCAGGCUGCUGAAUAAUUUUGGAGUACUGGGCGUACUUUUGAUCACCUGGUUGGUGAUAAGAGCGGCAGGUUGCCAAAUAAGUUUGGAGUACUGGACGUACUUUUGAUCACCUGGUUGGUGAUAAUAGAGGGCUUGGCUCUUUUGGGCAUAUGGGCAUUCACCCUCCACCUAACAUUCCAGCCCAUUAUUUUGGGCUUGACGUUUUUUUUUUUUUUUUUACCCUCUGAUGGGGUUAUACAAAUGUCUCCUAAAGAUAAGAAAAAUAAACAUCAUUCAAAAAUAAGAAAAGUAAAUCACAUCUUUCUGGUGGAGUGUUUAUUCCUUGCUUUUGCAGUGUCCCCAUGUGCCUCCCUUUUGCUUUCUGCUUUUUCUCGGUUUUUUCUGCUUUGCUUUUGCUUUUCUUCUUUUCUCUUUUCCUUUAUUCCACUUUUGCUUUCUCAGAAAAUGAAGAUGCAGGGGAUGGGUCAUUGAUCUCAUCUAGCAGGUUAUCUGCAGCAUACAGAGCAUCUUUGAUCUACACUAGCUUCCCUGCAAUUUGUCGAGGUACUAGGGCUGGCCAUGGCCCCUCUUGAUCGCUUCCAGGAGAUCGAAAGAUUGAGAAUCGGACGGCGGAGCCUUACCGGAGAUCCAUCGCCGCUGAAACGAGAGGGAAUCAGAGACCGACGGACGGCGGAGAUCGGAUACGAUCAAACAUCGACGGCAGCCAUCGGACCUCAAAAUCCGUGGUAGUUUCAUCCUCUCUCUCACUCUCUCUGGAGUUCGUCUCUACCUCACUCUCGCGAGAUAUGGAUUCAUCCCUGAAAUGUUGUAGAAAUCAUCUGAUAUCUUGAUAUCUUGUCAUUGUAAGACAAGCAGCCACUGACCCAUAGCCGACACGACACCGUCUCAGCAUCAGUAACCUCAAGUUGAGUAGUAAUCUCGUGCAAGAACAAUGUUUCAGCACCCAAAGUAGCUUGAGAACAACAUCUUGGCAAAAAAAAGCUGCAAAUAAUAACUUUCCUUAUACCUCUGAGACAAUCUCACUUUAGCACUCUCAUGUUCCACAUUUUUCUCUGUUCAAGGCUCUUACCACAGAAUACAAACAUGCACGGAGAUGUGACAUGCAGAACUCGGAGGUGGAUAAACUUGAUGGAAUCUGUGAUUCGAGAGCUGAAAGAAGGUUGAAUGACGCAUCGAUCUCGGAUCUGAGAUGAGGAGGAUAGGGAUGAAGGCAGGCUCUCGAGCAUCUCGCCAUGAGAGAUUGAUGAGAGAAUGACAGGAAAAAGAUCACUCGUCUUUGGGAAGUGGUUAGCCCUGACUUGGACCUUCUCGCCGACCUUCCCGUAGCCAGGCCUAGCUGGACACACGGCGGGCUUCGACGACGACGGUGGCGGGGCGGUCAGCAUCAGUUUCAAGAGAGGAGGAAAAGCUCAUCCAAGCUGUUGAAUACAUUGAUGAUGAGAUUGUCAUUGGUGAUGGAGUGGAUGUCUGACUGAGAGAUUUUGAAGUCGUUGGGACGGGUUGAAAUUGGAGCAAUCAGAGAGAAGCAGAGUUGCGGAUGGUGACUUCAGUGUGGGUUUUCUGCUGUUCUAAAAUGACGACGAUUCGGUCCCUCCGGAGCCGCACGAACAGGACAACGGUGGAUCGGGCCUGGUGGUCGUCCCAGAUCAUGACUUUAUUGGUCGGGUACUGAGGGUCGGGUCUACCGCCGAGGGUCAGAGUUAGGGUUGGGCCAUGAAUGUGUUGGUUUAUGUCUGGGCUGCUUGGAGAAUUUGGCCACAGAAAGAGGGGUUUUUGGUUUCUUGGUUUUGCAGAUUCAUGGUGGAGGUUGUGAAGUUCUCACGGUGGUGAGAUGGAAAAUGAAAGAUAACCAACAUAGCUUUUCGUGUCGAUUCCCAUAGACGGCACCAAAUGUUGAUGCACAAAGUCGGAGGUCUCAGAGCAACGUAAAUCCGACCGUGAAUCUGCAAGAAAUGUAAAUAACACAAGAUGUAUCGUGGUUCACCCCAAUGUUUGGGCUACGUCCACACUGAUAUUUGUAUUUCUCUGUUUGUGAGGGAGAGAGAUGGAGAGAGCUUAUGAGGGUGAGAGAGCCCUUCCAUGGCCUAAGAAUUGGCCUCCCCUAAUGAGGAGAGUGAGGAGUCCUUUUAUAGAAUAAGGGCUCCUCACUUAUUACAUAUUUGCCCCUUCAUUUAUACAUAAUUACCUUUGAGUCCCCCGAGUAUUUAUACGAGAUCUAAGUACGGAGGCCCUAAGUAUGGUACAAACAGCCUCAAAUCCAGUUUUUCAUGCUCGCACAAAGCAUGUGGAAAUUGAUUACCAUUACAUUCGUGAACUCGUUCUUGCCAAACUGCUCCGAGUACAAUAUCUCAAUACUCAGCAUCAAGUUGCUGAUAUCCACACUAAAUCUCUUUCCAAAGCUCGGUUUCAAUAUCUUCAAUCCAAGCUUUGACUCGGUUCUCCUCCGUUUAGCUUGAGGGGGUGUAAAGAGGCAUAUAAAUAGUUGGUUUAAUUUUUGUUACAAGUGUGUUACAACUGUCCUUGUAACUAAUUACUAGAUUAGUGAGUUAACUAGAUGUAAUUAGUUACUAAGCUAUUUUUCUCUGCUGUAUAUAAACCCAUUGUAAUUUCUUAUUCAUUAAGAAAUGAAAUAUCAGAGUUAUUUCUUAUAGCUAGAGCAAGGGAAAGAGGAGAGAAAGAUUGGAAUCGAGAGGGAGUAGGACAGAAAAAAGAGAGAGAUAGAGACUGGAAUUGAGAUGUCUAAUCUGGAAGAAGGAAGGGUGGGACGGAGAAGGCUAUUAGGGCGGAUAAGAAGAAUAUUCCCCUCGUGAAAGUAGUGUGUACGCUUUGAUGGGUAAGAUCUAUAAGCGGCGUAACAUGCAUGAGAAAGAAAUGCUUCAUUUCGGUUAUGCAUUGGAUUUGAAACCAUCCACAACUGAUGUCGCUACCAUUAAGGUGAGAUUUGAGCAUAUUUCUUAGUCUUUAUUAACAUCCAUUAUUGAUAACUUUCCAUAUGCGCUUUGAUCCAACACAAUCGUAGCUCUCAUUUGCAUCUUACUCCGAGGCUUGUCUCUUGAUUUUUCAACAGGCUGACAUUGAGAAGUUACAUGUACCUGAUGAACUAGACGAUGAGUAGAUCCAUCAUGUCGGAAGUCAGUUAAAGAGAACAUCAUGCAAGUGAGUAGCGGUCUGCUUGUGCUUUCGAAGGCGUAUGAAUGGCCUAGUUCGUGAGGCUUGCCUGCUCAUUCGGGCACCCGCAUCCAGUCUGCAUACUGGAGAACCUGACCUCAGUUUUGUAGGUCAUUCACGUACUGGUAGAGAACAAGAGGUGGCACAAGUACUAACAAGUAAUAGCUGCUGUACUUGUACGGAUAGUUGUAUCAUGAUGUUGAAAAAUUACUUGUAUCAUCAUCUUUAACCCUAAUGUUUAUGACUGUAAUCUGCCUUGCUCUUUCACCAAAAUUGUAAAAAUCCAUACGUGAUCUUCCCAUCAACGAGUCUGAAUCGUCGAAUUUACCCAAAUUCAAAACUAGGGUUCUUUUGUUUAUUUCAGGGACACCUUGUGGUGUUUACUCUCAUUUUUUUCAAUGAUCAAAACUGUUUAUAUUUUUUAGUUCAUUAUUCAUAGAUCAUCCCUCCAAAAAAUUAGGUAAAUCCAAAUCCACCUUGAAACAGGGGUAACUACUCUUAACGACUAGAGCUACAAGUCCGACAACUUAUCAACCUUACUGGAUUUUGUUGCCGGUUUUAUUGCAGGGUUAUACAAAUCACUUGCCAUUCUCUCUACCAAAUCACUUUUGUGUUUCCAAUUAUUCAACUUGGAGUUCAAGAGAGGCUUCCAUUCUGCUAGCCAUGACUUGCAAACCAGUGCCAAUGAGCAGGUCCAGAUCCUCCAGCCUCAAUCCCUCCACUGGUUCAACUUCAUACUUCCACACAAUCAUACACCCGGCG
rnacentral:lncRNA from 1 species